GUUUUUUGGCCGAGUCGUUGAAUUCCAUUCUUAUCAGUGAAUGUAUUGUAAAUUGUAUAGUUGUAAAUAGUGUUUCGCUGAGACUUCAAGAUCAAGUGCUUCUCUACUAAAAGAAUUCAUCUAAGCGUGAUUGCUUUAGAAUCAUGGAAAAGGCAGCUGCAUCGUAGAAUCCUAUACCACAACUCAAUUAAGCUACAGUUUCCAAUAGGUAAAGGUCAGGAAAAAGCACUUCCUGUGAGUACCCAGUGCACUAAUAAAUUUGUAAACAUUAUUAUAUUAUAAUUACAUUUUUGUUUUAAAUUGCCCAUUGCAAAGGUACCGUAUUAAGGGGCACACCUAGUGUGUCAACCUAAAAAAUGGCCAUUUUUGGAAAUUAAAAAAAAGAAAAGCUAGUGAAUCCAACUAUUUAAAAUUUUGUGGGUAUAUUUAUACAUGUUUUGAGAAUACACAGUAAAAUUUUUGAAAUAAAAUAUUAAAUAUUUUUGAAAUGACACGCAAUCGCCAGCGGCGCCAUAAAAAAAGGUCCUCCACUACUGGAGCGAUUGCAGCCUUCUCCGUCGAUAAAACUACACAAAAAAAAUUCUCCUUAAACUAAAACAUAUUGUCUGUACAUUGACCCUCGGGCGAUCAAAAAAAUUAAAAAUUGACAAAAUGGCGACAUAUUGAAUAAAAAAGUUAAAUUUUCCCCAAAAUUUUGGUCGUUUUUGGCCUGCCAAAAUUCGAUUUUUGAUCAGAUCAAAAAACUGGAGGGUCAUUGUAUGGAGAACUAUCUAGAAGAGAUGCAAAAAAAAUUUGAUAGCGAUCGGAUCAUUUGUCUCCGAGCAAUCACUCCAGCAAAUUCGAAAAAUGCUGUUUCGAGAAAAACGCGUUUAAAGAUAAAAUGCAACUAUCUAACUGCCGAGCGGCUACU